GUAAAGGUUGAUGUAUCCAGAAAACACCUGUCUGUGUCCUGGAAGUACCCAAACACCUGGUCGAACCCUCACUCGUUCUUCCCUCUGUUGUUUCAGAUUAAACUUCAUUACCCAGACAACAAAACUGUGUUCCGUGUGGAAGAGACUCACAGUGUGAAUAUCAGCACUAAUAUCCUGUCACUCAAACUGCGCUGCAGGGAUCUGUAUUACAGGUCGGCUUGGAGUACAUGGAGCACUGAGAUCCGCAACCCAGCCUGGUGACACUGAGUCUUGCACCAUCAUGCCCAAUCUGCGAUAUGUGACAAGCACCCUGGGGAUCUUGUAAACCAUAAUCAUUUAUAAUAAAUCUAUUUAUUUUAUUGCAA